rnacentral:lncRNA from 1 species
GAAGAAAAUAUCGAAAUAUUUGUCCUUUUAUUCAAUCGCAUUUAUAAUACAGGUAAAAUACCCCACGACUGGCUAGAGUCAAUAUUCAUCCCACUACC